rnacentral:lncRNA from 1 species
UUGGUUAUGGGAGCCUUUGAGAUGUUUCAGAGAUUUUUAGGAGCACAAGCAGUGUGGAUUUCUAAUACCCCCAGUGGGUCUUUCUACAUCUCAUCUGAUCUGCAGCGAGAGCUCCCUCCUCUCCUUCCUUCUCCAGCUCACUUUUCCUGCUGCUCCUGGCUCCAGAGUGCUGUCCUCAAGCUAUUGCACUUUGAUCCUAUCUGUUUAAUCCAUGAUAUGCGGGUCUUUUUGAAAAACCUUUACAAUAGGAAAAUAGUUUUCCUGCAUUAAUGACGUCAGCCUGGCAGCAGGGGAAUUGAGCGAUGUGCUGACCGCGACCAGAGGGCUUCCACUUGACGUCUCUCCGUGUCAGGUUUUAUCUUACAAUUUUUUUUUGCUGUCUAACAAGGAGUGGGAAAUCCUUUUCUUUACAGAAGAGAGGGCUGAAUCUACCUGGGAGAGCAGCUCGGGGUAUUUUUGGGAGCGAGAUGCGGAGGC